UAAUACGUAGGCAGCAAGCGUUGUUCGGAGUUACUGGGCGUAAAGGGUGUGUAGGCGGCCUGUUAAGUUCCGUGUGAAAUCUCCCGGCUCAACCGGGAGGGUGCGCGGAAAACUGGCGGGCUUCGAGUGCGGGAUGGGAGAGUAGAAUUCCUGGUGUAGCGGUGAAAUGCGUAGAUAUCAGGAGGAAUACCGGUGGUGUAGACGGCUCUCUGGACCGUAACUGACGCUGAGACACGAAAGCGUGGGUAGCAAACAGGAUUAGAUACCCUGGUAGUCCACGCCCUAAACGAUGCAUAUUUGGUGUGGGUCAUUCAGUUGAUCCGUGCCGGAGCUAACGCGUUAAAUAUGCCGCCUGGGGAGUACAGUCGCAAGGCUG
rnacentral:rRNA from 1 species